rnacentral:misc_RNA from 1 species
AUUCGGUAGUGGGGAGGGGGGUUCGUGCGAGUUUUAGAUGGUAGUUCUGAAGGAUGCGUCCAGGAUGCUGUACAGCUGUGGGUGGUAUGUGGUUGUAUGGGCUGGUGUUCUUGUGUGCGCCUACCUGUUAUCUUUAACUUUUUCAGUGUGUCUGAAAGGCGCGUUGCUUUCAGUGAAUGGUACUUCUCUUUGUGUGGUUGGGAACAAGUGUUUGUAUCUCUUGUCGCAAGCGGCAGAUGAAUUUUUUCUCACUUGACCGCAGCGGUCGGAUGACGUUAAAAGGUGGCCGUAUUGUUGUGUCGGGAUCUAUCUUUGUUUUUGCGAUUUUGGCGUCGACGGGGAGUGGUGGUGGUGGCCGAGAUGUGAGCAGCUCUGCUGGGAAAGAGACUUCACCUGAGCCUGUACUUCUUACUUUUUCAGAAAGUCAGCUUCUGUUCCUCAUAAAAACCGCCUUAACAGCAUGGAUGAAACGAGGGGAUUCUGGUUUUGCUUAAAGGGGUUGAAUCGGAACUCGAAGAUGUGUGGAUACGCAUGUGCAGAGGUAUUCGCAGUGCGUUCCGUUUGUAGUUAGAUAGGAACCCCCCCCCCCCUGUGGUGUAGUAAUCUUGCUAGCGUAUUCUCGUUUAUUGAAGCUGUAUCCUGAGACUCUGGUGAUUCAUAACUGCGCAGAGGUAAUGAGCUCUGCAAGGCUUCCUGAUGAAUGUUAACUGCACGUGCGGGAAGAGAGUCUAUUGUACCGUGGCUUUGUUCGUUCUCGUCAGUAUUCUUUCCUUGAUUCUUGAGGGUCAUACGGUCAUAGUCAGUUUCCCCAGAAAAUUGUUUGUUGUCCCAGGUUUCAGUAUUAACUGCGACAGCACUGCUAGUGCCCUAAAACUGUUUUUCUUUCUUUUUGUUUGAGAGGGAGUCGGGGGCUUUUUUUUGCUGUUACUGAUGCCGAAGGCGCUCGCCUUGUGCCAGUCAUUGCAGUGUGCCAUUUCGAGAUGGGCGUUGUCUGGAUUCGUUGGUUUUUGCAGUUUACUGUGAAAGAGGAGGCACAGAGGCUUUUUCGAUGGAUUGUAACUGGCCGAGAGAAGUCUUGUCAAAGAUAGGUGUGAGAAACUGUUCUAUGUUUUGUGGUCGUUGCUGUACUGAGGCUAAGGCAAAGAGUGAAGCGCAAAAAAAAAGUUUUCUGUUAUGGAGAGUGAGAAGGGGCCGUUCAGAAUUUGAAUUACAAGCAUCUCUUUGCGUUGGUUUGUUGUGGUCGCAAGUGGUCAAGAUUGAUCGACACUUUCAGCUUUUCAAUGUGUGUCUGGAUUUUUCAUUUAUUCAUCCACCGUGGCAGGGAUUUUCGUGUCGUGAAAACGGAGGUUUUCUUUCGUCUAUUUUUGUCUGAGUGGAGGUACCAGAUGCGCAAGGAACGCAAAAGGUUCCUUAUAAUCUGCGAGACGGGAGAUAUAAAAAGGGUGUUGUUGAGAUGUGGUGCGGAAACCGGAUGUGCUCCCUCCAACCAGGAUAGAGCAGUAACCGAUUGUAAUAGCAGCGGGAGAGUGUCAAGUGCCUUAUGCUGGUGUGUAGUCAUCACUCUCAUGUUUUUUUUUUUUUUUUUUGAUGUGGAGCUGGUGUUGCUUCUUUCUUUUCUGCUCAUGUGUGUUGAUGUAUAGCUUUCAGUGACGAGGCUUCUGUGCUCUCGUGCUUUUCAAUUCGAAGACCAGCCCCCGGCAUCUAUUUCUUUUUUUACCGCAAGUGCCAUUGAGCAUGGGCUGUUCGACUUUUUUCUUGCGGUUUUUCGUUGAAGCCGAGCACCCUCAUUGGUUUUUGCUUCAGCGAUGUGCAAUCAUGCGGAUAUUAGCGCUGUCGAAGCUUCUUAUCCUUUGUGUGUUUGGAUUCUUCUAGUGAUGAUGCGACCAUGUUAUCGGCGGAGUGUUAGCAUGGAGGCCGAAGCAGGGAAUCGUAGCGUUUGCCGCUUUCUCGCCUUAGUGAUCGGAUAUUUUUGUGCGGGUAGCUAUCAAAUUAAUGUAGGGCUGGUACAGAAAGCUUCCCAGUUUUCAAAGUCUGUUUGAGGUGUCGGUGUUGUGUUUGCUUCGGUGGGAUAUGAGGGUGGUUAUCCGUUUAUUUUUUCAAUGCAAGUUUUGUGGCAACGAAGCAGGUCUGGAGUUCGUGUCUUUUCGCACGAGUAAGGUGCUGGUUGCGUUCAUUGUGUGUGCGUCAUAUCGCUGCUGAUAUGUACCGUUUGUAAGGUGCUGGUCACCGAGGUGAUACAUCUCUGCACAUUGAUAGACGGUGUGUGUCACUUCCUGUCAUUCUUGUCCGUAAAGACAGGAAACGGGCAAAGGCUUUAUAGCAUAUAUACAUGUUUGCGUGAGGAACUUUCCGUACUGGCCAAUCAUGAGAUCUUUUCCCGUAUUGUUACUCAUUAUCCUUGUUGGUGUACUUCUGUGGGAUACCUUUGUGAGCAGUAUAUAUAUAUAUAUAUUCUUCUCCCUUUCAAAUUAUGUGCUUAGAAGAAAAGGACGUGGCUCGAUGUAGCUUUUUUUUAAAACUAAUUACGUGUGUGAUGCGUUGUCGCAGCGUUCAGGCGGUGAUUUUGUUGAUGUGUGUCUGAAUGUGUAGGUCUGCGGAAGGUAUAUUCUCUUGUUUUUCGAACAAAAAGGUUCUCUUGUGCUGUGGGAAAGCAAGGGACAGAGGUUGCAGCCUUUAUUUUCUGUUUAGCGUGCUGGCUGGUUUGUUUCUUGCCUUCGUGGUGGUUGCUGGCAGCUCUCGGCGCUCCUGUUUGCAUCGGCUGAGGAACUGUCCUUCAGGGGCGUUGAUAGCGGUGCUAGUGCUUCGGGAGGGAAAAUGGGAGUACGAAUUGGGACGUAGGCGUCAGGCUUACGAUUCUUGUGUGUUUUCUUUUUAGCUAAGCUUAGUAGAGGAUGUUUUUUCCAAAAAGGAGGAAUUUAUAGAUUCUAGGUGCGAAGAAAAGGGAAAGAAGCUGUGACAAUUGUUCUAGAGGAGCUCUGAGCCGGCAUGAGUCUUUUCUGUGACCUGUGUUGUUGAGGGCGGAAUGUGUGUGCAUUUUCCCCUGAGCGUCAAUCAUAUAGUUGACACACCAAGGGAAAGCCAUCGUUUGAACUGCUUCCUUUUUACCUCUGUGUGCACUCGUGCUUUGAGAAACGCAUGCAGGUUUUUCAAUUUUGUCAGGACUUGCGAAAAAAAAAAGGACGGUCGAAAAGCGAUAUCGUGACGAGGAAUGAGUGAAAGAGCUCUCCGUCAUUCCACUGGCAUGCUGCACCAGGCGCUUAUCUUUUCUUGACUGCAUUACGUUCUCAUUUCCGAUGACUAG